rnacentral:tRNA from 1 species
GGGGGUUUAGCUCAGUCGGUAGAGCAGUGGCCUUUUAAGCCAUGGGUCCGGGGUUCAAGUCCCCGAACCCCCA